AAGUCGUAACAAGGUCUCCGUUGGUGAACCAGCGGAGGGAUCAUUACAGGGUCUAAACCCCCCCUAAACCCACUGUUUAUCUAUCGAAAAUAGUCUGCUUCGGCGGGCGAUCUCAGGGCGAGAUCGCUGUCGCGUCCUCCGGGACGCGGCGCCCGCCGGAGGAGACGACCCCCAAAACUCUUGUCGUUUCAGUAUCUUUCUGAGCCUAAAGACAAAUAAUCAAAACUUUCAACAACGGAUCUCUUGGUUCUG
rnacentral:misc_RNA from 1 species